rnacentral:rRNA from 1 species
UCCCCCCCCCCCUGUUAACCUAACACAAGAGUAUUCCAAGAAAGAUUCAACAAAAAAGAAGGAACUCGGCAAAUACUGAUCUCGCCUGUUUACCAAAAACAUCGCCUCUCGCUAAAAUGAGAGGUCCAGCCUGCCCAGUGACCCCACCCAGUUUAACGGCCGCGGUAUCCUGACCGUGCAAAGGUAGCGCAACCACUUGUCUUUUAAAUAAAGACUAGUAUGAACGGCAUCACGAGGAUCAAACUGUCUCCUUUUUUCAAUCCGUGAAACUAAUCUUCCCGUGAAGAAGCGGGAAUCCUGUCAUAAGACGAGAAGACCCUGUGGAGCUUAAGGCAAACAGUUACCGCUUUCCCCCAUCACUCUAGUACACAUAUUAUAGCGCUUAACUGCUCACCUUUGGUUGGGGCGACCACGGAGCAAAACCCAUCCUCCGCGCAGGGAAUCACCCAGCAAAGAACCACAAUUCUAUGCAUCAACAAAUUGAUGUAAUUGACCCAAUUACUUGAGCAACGAACUAAGUUACCCCAGGGAUAACAGCGCAAUCCGCUUCAAGAGCCCAUAUCGACAAGUGGGUUUACGACCUCGAUGUUGGAUCAGGGUCCCCCAGUGGUGCAGCCGCUGCUAAAGGUUCGUUUGUUCAACGAUUAAAACCCUACGUGAUCUGAGU